GAUGAACGCUAGCGGCAGGCCUAACACAUGCAAGUCGAGGGGUAGAGUUCUUCGGGACUUGAGACCGGCGCACGGGUGCGUAACGCGUAUGCAAUCUACCUUAUACAGGGGAAUAGCCCAGAGAAAUUUGGAUUAAUGCCCCAUAGUGUUAUCGAAUCGCAUGGUUUGAUAACUAAAGUUCCAACGGUAUAAGAUGAGCAUGCGUCCCAUUAGUUAGUUGGUAAGGUAACGGCUUACCAAGACAAUGAUGGGUAGGGGUCCUGAGAGGGAGAUCCCCCACACUGGUACUGAGACACGGACCAGACUCCUACGGGAGGCAGCAGUGAGGAAUAUUGGUCAAUGGGCGCAAGCCUGAACCAGCCAUGCCGCGUGCAGGAAGACGGUCCUAUGGAUUGUAAACUGCUUUUANACAGGAAGAACCCUCCACGUGUGGGAGCUUGACGGUACUGUAGGAAUAAGGAUCGGCU
rnacentral:rRNA from 1 species